AUUCCAGCUCCAAUAGCGUAUAUUAAUGUUGUUGCAGUUAAAAAGCUCGUAGUUGGAUUUCUAGCGGACGCGACUGGUCUGCCCCGCAAGGGGUUUGUACUGAGUUGUCGUCUGUUAUCCUUGAGAAGAGCGGCCCUGGCAUUCAUUUGUCGGGGUCGGGAUUCUCAUCGUUUACUGUGAAAAAAUUAGAGUGUUCAAAGCAAGCUUAGGCUCUGAAUAUAUUAGCAUGGAAUAAUAAGAUAGGACCUUGGUGGUUUAUUUUGUUGGUUUGCACGCCGAGGUAAUGAUUAAUAGGGAUAGUUGGGGGUAUUCGUAUUCAAUUGUCAGAGGUGAAAUUCUUGGAUUUAUGGAAGACGAACUACUGCGAAAGCAUUUACCAAGGAUGUUUUCAUUA
rnacentral:rRNA from 1 species